GGGGAAUAUUGGGCAAUGGGCGAAAGCCUGACCCAGCCAUGCCGCGUGAAUGAUGAAGGCCUUAGGGUUGUAAAGUUCUUUCGCUAUCGAGGAUAAUGACUGUAGAUAGACAAGAAGCCCCGGCUAACUUCGUGCCAGCAGCCGCGGUAAUACGAAGGGGGCUAGCGUUGUUCGGAAUCACUGGGCGUAAAGCGCGCGUAGGCGGCUAUUCAAGUCAGAGGUGAAAUCCCAGAGCUCAACUUUGGAACUGCCUUUGAAACUGUAUAGCUGGAGUGUUGGAGGGGAUAGCGGAAUUCCUAGUGUAGAGGUGAAAUUCGUAGAUACUAGGAGGAACACCGGUGGCGAAGGCGGCUAUCUGGACAACAACUGACGCUGAGGCGCGAAAGCGUGGGUAUCAAAC
rnacentral:rRNA from 1 species